UACCAGCACCCCGGGUGGUCGGGACGAUUAUUGGGCCUAAAGCAUCCGUAGCCGGUCAUGCAAGUCUUCCGUUAAAUCCAGCCGCUCAACGGUUGGGCUGCGGAGGAUACUACGUGGCUAGGAGGCGGGAGAGGCAAGCGGUACUCAGUGGGUAGGGGUAAAAUCCGUUGAUCCAUUGAAGACCACCAGUGGCGAAGGCGGCUUGCCAGAACGCGCUCGACGGUGAGGGAUGAAAGCUGGGGGAGCAAACCGG
rnacentral:rRNA from 1 species